rnacentral:rRNA from 1 species
CCUACGGGAGGCAGCAGUGGGGAAUAUUGCACAAUGGGGGAAACCCUGAUGCAGCGACGCCGCGUGAGCGAUGAAGUAUUUCUGUAUGUAAAACUCUAUCAGCAGGGGAGAAAAUGACGGUACCUGUAUAAGAAGCCCCGUCUAACUACGUUCCAGCAGCCGCGGUACUACGUAUGGAGCAAGCGUUAUCCGGAUUUACUGGGUGUAAAGGGAGCGUAGACGGCAGUACAAGUCUGGAGUGAAAUCCCGGGGCUUAACACCGGAACUGCCUUGGAAACUGUGUGGCUGGAGUGCAGGAGCGGUAAGCGGAAUGCCUGGGGUAGCGGUGAAAUGCGUAGAUAUCAGGAGGAACACCGGUGGCGAAGGCGGCUUACUGGACUGUAACUGACGUUGAGGCUCGAAAGCGUGGGGAGCAAACAGGAUUAGAUACCCCAGUAGUC